CAGGAUGGGUUCCAGAUUCUCGCUCAGAGUCAAAGUAGAGUGGGUCAAAAAGGAUCAAAGGCAACUUUUUGUGUUCAGUACGUUGGUGAAUGUGAAGAGGAGGGUGAAAUAACACUCACAUAUCACUCAAAUCCAGUCGUGUCCAUAAGAUUGCUGUUCGCCAUAUCUAACUACUAGAGUUCCAAUGCAGACAGAGCAAGUAGAUCAAAAUUUAAUAUAGAUUGUUCUAUUUUGCUGUUAAAAUAAUCCCGCAGAUUUCCUGCAAUCAGCACAUAUUUAAGACGCCCCUAGUUUAAUACUGGUACCUAUGUGACUCAUGUGUCUUUGACACGUAGAAAGCUCAUAAGUUAUGAAACACUUGACAGCAUAAAUACUUUUUGGGUACCAAAUUUUUGAUGUGGCACCAUUCCAUGUUGUAAUGCAAAGUGCACAAGUCAGUGAUAGAAUCAUGUCUUUAUUGGAAUAUUUCAUAUUUUCAAGAAGAAAUAAUGCUUUCAGAAAGCUUUAAAUUUGUAAGUGAUUUGUAAGUGAUAUUGUUAUGGAAAUUAUUCAUUUUUGUGUAAUAAUGGGUUAAUAUAUAUUAAUACAGGGUGUUUGCAAAACAACAAAAAAAAGGAAAUCAUAUUAAUUUUUUACUUGAAGAAUUUCAUGGAACUUUUAAAAUUAUCGUCAUAACCAACAGUAAGUAGGUUCAAUUAUUUAAUAUUAAAUUUUUUUCCAAAAUGAUAAAUCUUUGCAACAAAAUUUUCAUCAUACAUAUUUCAUGGCAUUUUCCAAUGUGUCAAUAAGAUAAUUUAGGAAGGAGAUUACAAUGAUGCCCUUGUGCAACAAAAUUAUUUCGCAGGUCUCCUACCUUGUGAAUUGUGUGAUAACUUAAUGCUUAAAUAACACUAACACAGUGCAAGGAUCAUGCACAUUCAAUCAACGUUAUUAUCAGCAAAAAUAUGCAAUCAAUUUCGGUCUGAACAAGCUUCCUCUGUUCUUAUGCACAUUUGAUAGACAUCAUGGCUAUUCCUAACAAAUGCAACAUCCUCCAAAAAAAUGUUCCAAAAUGAUAGGAAUUUCAUGACUACAAUGAAAAAAGGGCAAAUUAUAUUCCAGAAAUCCCAAAAAGUUUGCAGUGGACACUUUUUCCUUAGUUUUAAAAGGAAUGUUGUUUCCUUUGAAUCAAGUACCAAGUUUCCUUUUUCAACCAGUUUAUGAUCUAAAAACUGCAAAACUACCGUGACACUGCCCUUUUUGUUACAUGGGAAGGACAUCCUUAGCUUCCCUGGACAACAGCUCUAAACAGAGAGCUAGAAGAACUUCCAAAAUAAGCAAG